UAUCAAGACAGUUCCAUUACUGAAUAUUAGUAAAAACAGACCACCAAACCAAUCUAUAGAUACAUGGUAGAGUUAAACCAUCCAUGGGCAUUGGUAUUGUUGACUCCAAGGCUCCAAAGAGAACAUUAACAACACAUAGUAAAUGGGGAUUUUUGUAGAGCUCUCAACAGAGAAAAGAUUAUUGCCAAUGCCAAUGCCCAAAUUUUAGGAUUUGUUCGAAUGUAGUCAGAUUUCCUAAUUCUUCCUUCCUUCACACAAGAUAAUAUGGUACCCAUGCGUUGACUUGAAUGGUGCACUGGUCGCUCCAACUUGAGUGGCGAAUGCAACGUCUUGAAAUGGGCCAGCCAUCUUUCCACGAGGAAACCAUCCUAAGUCACCACCUUUCUUCCCUGAAGGGCACUCGGAGUAUUCAGCUGCUAACUUAGCAAACUCUGCGGGAGGAACCUUGUCUCCAUUGCUAAGCCAACCGUCCUGCAACUUCUUGUAGGCUUCAUUGAUUUUACCCUGCUUCUCGGACAGUAUAUGCCUCGCUUUGACAUAAGUGCAAGUUCCGAGGCCAUCGGAAGCAGCUUUUCCGGAUUUUCCCUUUCCUUUGGAAGCACUUUCAUCGGCUCCAGAACCUGCUUGCUUUGCCUUCCCCUUGCCUUUACCACCCGCCUCCUUUGCCUUUGA
rnacentral:misc_RNA from 1 species